AUUGAACGCUGGCGGCAGGCCUAACACAUGCAAGUCGAACGGUAACAGGAAGAAGCUUGCUUCUUUGCUGACGAGUGGCGGACGGGUGAGUAAUGUCUGGGCAACUGCCUGAUGGAGGGGGAUAACUACUGGAAACGGUAGCUAAUACCGCAUAACGUCGCAAGACCAAAAAGGGGGACCUUCGGGCCUCUUGCCAUCGGAUGUGCCCAGGUGGGAUUAGCUAGUAGGUGGGGUAACGGCUCACCUAGGCGACGAUCCCUAGCUGGUCUGAGAGGAUGACCAGCCACACUGGAACUGAGACACGGUCCAGACUCCUACGGGAGGCAGCAGUGGGGAAUAUUGCACAAAGGGCGCAAGCCUGAUGCAGCCAUGCCGCGUGUGUGAAGAAGGCCUUCGGGUUGUAAAGUACUUUCAGCGGGGAGGAAGGGAGUUAAGUUAAUACCUUUGCUCAUUGACGUUACCCGCAGAAGAAGCACCGGCUAACUCCGUG
rnacentral:rRNA from 1 species